AUCAUGUUCAUACAUAGUAAAAUUACAAAUUACAUUAAAUUCUUCAAAAUCAUUAGUUAUCCAUCCAAGAAUCUUGAUCGCUCUUUAAGCCGCCAUCAAAUCUUGGCCAAAAUCUUCCCUUCCAAUCAACAAUUCACAUAGAUUAUAUCCAAAAACUGCUCGGCAACAUCCAUGCUUUCAAGGGGAUAUUGUGUACCAGGUCUGAAGAGUGCUUAGACGGAUGGCAAAGGCUGCAGCCAUUACAGCAACUGUACUCCAGGGUGUCUUGAAAGACACUUGCGCCGCCUCGGCCAUCGGCUGACCAGGUAGCAAUGGUGGUUCUAUUUUUAUGCUCGAAACAUCGUCCGCUUUUCGUUGACAUGAUCACAAAGGGUAGGAUUUGGAGCUAAGUUCGAGGCCGAUUCGCGAAACAACUGACACACCCUAUCAUCAACGAAGUUCCAAGUUCCCUGAGAAGUAUCUCGCAGGCUGAAAAGAAAUGCCUCUUACCCAGAUUGAGUUGUUAGGCUUCACGUUGAAUUGGAUUGAUUUAAGCUCACUCAGACUCCAUGGAGGGCACCAGCGUAGAGUUCCUUGAUCGGUACUGGAAAAUAAAUCCUUUGAACAACUUCUUCAUCUGGCCAAAUCCAUUCUAGAUGUCCCGUCAUUCACAUCCUUAAAAGUUCAAGCAGAUGAUUCGGCUUCCAUUUUUCAAUUUUAGGUAUGUUUUCCCUGCAGUAAUCCCCUGUCGAGUGUUAUGUAUUUUCAUGAAAUCAUUGAUCAAACAUUGGACAAUAUCUCUGAGAAGUUAUCUGUAUAAUAGAUUUGAGUUUGACAUAAUCACA
rnacentral:lncRNA from 1 species